GAUGAACGCUGGCGGCGUGCCUAAUACAUGCAAGUCGAGCGAACAGAUAAGGAGCUUGCUCCUUUGACGUUAGCGGCGGACGGGUGAGUAACACGUGGGGAACCUACCUAUAAGACUGGGAUAACUUCGGGAAACCGGAGCUAAUACCGGAUAACAUUUGGAACCGCAUGGUUCUAAAGUGAAAGAUGGUUUUGCUAUCACUUAUAGAUGGACCCGCGCCGUAUUAGCUAGUUGGUAAGGUAACGGCUUACCAAGGCGACGAUACGUAGCCGACCUGAGAGGGUAAUCGGCCACACUGGAACUGAAACGCGUCCCAGACUCCUACGGGAGGCAGCAGUAGGGAAUCUACCGCAAUACGAGAAGGCAUGACGGAGCACAGCCGCGUGAGUGAAGAAGGGUUUCGGCUCGUAGAACUAUGCUAUUAGGGAAGAACAAAAAUGUAAGUAACUGUGCACGACUUGACGGUACCUAAUCAGAAAGCAACGGCUAACUACGUG
rnacentral:rRNA from 1 species